UUUUAACAGCACGUGUUAAGCGCUAACAAAAGUAAAGAAAGAGCGGGGCAAUUAACCUGUCCGCUCCUAAUGUGGAGAAGCAAUUCUGAAAUAACUAUUUCAGAUAUAUCAACGGAAGAAUUAUCGUAAAGUUCAUUAACUUUCGAUCCUAUUUCUAUCGAUAUCGACAUCGAAAAUCUUUCAUUGGAAAGCAAAAUGGCGAAUGAAGCUGAACUCACGGAACAGAUUAAAAAUCUUUCUAUUGUGAUAAACCAAAUGGUGGAAAAAAUAACCCAGCACGAAGAACGCUUAAAUAACACGUUUCAUGUGCGCGAACAAUCCCAUAAAAAUGUUACCAUCAUUGAACGGGAAUAAAAAACAAUUAACGUAUUGGUUAAAUACAGCUGAGGAAACAUUAAAAAUAUUUGAAAGUAUUGUGCCACCAAAUACUUUUUGAAUUUAUUUCACUGCAGUACUCAAUAAAAUAGAAGGUCAUGCAAAAGACGUAUUGUGUGUUAAUGGCACUCCUUCUAAUUUUAGUGAGGUUAAAGCUAUUUUAAUAUACGCCCUAGGAGACAAAAAAGAAUGGUCAUCUUAAAAUUGUCAAUUAUGGCAUAACGGCAUGGAAGGAAGUGUUGAAGAAUAUUAUAAAAAAACUAAACAGAUAGUGUACAAUAUAAAAUCUAGUGCUAAACAAAAUGCAAAAUACAGCGCUCAAUGGGACGUAAUUAAUGAUUUUAUGGAUAUUUUAUUUUAUUGCUCUAUUUUGGCUAUGCACAAGCCGCUCGUCCAAAAAGCAUCGAGGAAGCGCAUGCUUUCUUGUGCACAUUCACGUCUAACGAAAACAAUAGAAACUUCAAUACAGGAAUUGGGUCAUUUUGUUGACAGUUGACAAAUGUAGAGUGUGUCUGUAGCUCCGUGUUGAAUCGGGUUUUUAAGUGUGAAUUUGACGAGAAGCAUCCAAUCAGUUGUUGUUAUUAUGACCCUAACUGAAUGGGUGUGGUAAUUAAUAUAUAGUUUGAUGUUAUCAGGAUAAGUAUUUGUUUUCGUUUUAAUUUGUUGUGUGUAGCUGUUGAGUCAACGAAGAAGCGUCACUUACGGAUGCGUUCUGAUAUUUAUAUAUUUAUUUGCCUGUGUGUGUGAUAUUCUUGUGCUGUUAAGUAUAAGGUAAGGUACGUGUCAUGGAGUCCGCAAAGUGCUCCGGACACAUACUUGCCGGUGACUGUCCGUUGGUGUGUAUGGGUUUCGACAAAGGCUUUCACGCAGAUUGUACGAAAGUUAGUAGAGUGGCUGCGCGUAUGAUCAAUGAAUCGACUAACAUCGUUUUCUGUUGUGACGCGUGUGACAAAAAGAAUGUAGGGAGGAAUGAUUUGGGUAAAUGCAAAGCGACGCUAGAUGCAGGCUUUAAAUCCCUCAUGAAAGAAUUUGCUCUUAAACUUGAGAUACUGAAAUGCGAUUUAGUUGAGACGCUAAACUCUCAGUUGCCAAGUGCGAGCGUAGUCGUAAGGUAAAUAUGAUACAAGUAGAAAAGCAAGUGGGAUUAAAUAAUAUGGGUGAAGAUUGCUCUAAUACAUGCACGCCAAAUAAGAAUUCCCAACCAACAUUGCAAACAAGUUCUGGUAUGCAAUCUAUUUCGUAUGAAAACGAAUGGGUUACAGUGCGGAACAAACGUAAACGCACCAAUAGUCCAAACUCGGACAUAAUAACAACAGGUACAGUAUCGGACAGAAAGAUAGGGCAUUGGUUUUUUAACGCACCGUGCACCCGUUGGGCCAAGUUUAUGUGUGGUUUGUAUGUGCUUGUGUUUGUGUGUGUGUGUAUGUGUGUGUAUGUGUGUUUGUGUGUGUGUGUGUGUAUGUUUGUGUGCAUGUGUGUGUGUGUGUGUGUGUGUGUGUGUGUGUGUGUGGAUGUAUGUUUGAAUGUGUAUUGAUGUGUGUGUUUGUUUCACAAGUAGGUCGUUUCGGAUAGUUUUGUAAGUAGUUUUUUUGUGUUUUGGGUUAGGUUUUUGGUGUGAUAAGCAGGACCACCGCCCUCGCGAUCAGUGUGUUUUCGAUAUAUUAACAAUGUUACGGUCUUCUUUCGCCGUGGUCUUCUGAGGACAUUCGGUUGACUUGCGCGUUUCGGUUGUCCAAGCGCGUUUCGGUUGUCUAAGCACGUUUCGGUUGUCCGAAGCGCGUUUGCCACAAAAGUGCGCGAUCGUUCCAUUACGAACUCGAUCCUUUUGCGCUUAAUGCCAGCAGCAGCCGUUCGCUUUUACAUAUGGCGCUGAUGAUCGGUACAACGUUUACCUCGACCCAUUGUUACUAACAUUGCUUGCUUGGACCGUCAAGAACGCGCUGGUUAAAAACUUGGACACGGCUGAUCCCGUGCUCUGCCUGCGUUCUACUUCUAUACGCGAUGAAUUACAUCGUUGUCGAGCAGCGAAAACAUCGCAUGGAUAAAAACUAUCAACGAGUACGCGAGUAAGCGUCUUCCCUUCAAAAUCGAGAAAAGAAUACUGCCGCGCUCAUGAAACAAAACGCCCAUUGAAAAGAAUAACUGCGCGCCAGCUCAAUGCACACACAAAGUUUACCAUUUGCACACAACGUGCAACGCAGAGAUGCACGAAGGCCUUUCAAUGGCGUGCACUGGAGAAACACCUGUGAGGGAAUGCCAAGUUCAUUGCUAUUGUGCGCGUGUCCAUUUCGCACCGGUGUCGCAUUCACAUUCAUGAAACAGCACACCUGCGUUUUCGUCCGAGGAACAAGCGCUGCUGUCGAUGCAAACUUUAGUUUUUAUCCAAGUGUAAACGCACAAUGUUUCACAUGAUAACACACAUAAUAAGAAUAAUUUCAACGCAAUAUGACAUCAUGGCAAGCUAUGUUUUUCAGACACAAACCCGUGCACUUGCUAAUACACAUUGAAAAACACACUCUCUUUCUACUACACACACUCACACACACACACCCACACACACACACACACACACACACACACACAUACACACACACACAUACACACACACAUACACACACACACACCCACACACACACACACACACACACACACACACACACACAUACACACACACACAUACACACACACAUACACACACACAUACACACAUACACACACACAAACACAAGUAACGUGGCAAAACAAGUGCACGGUGCAUUGAAAAAAAAGGGUCCUAUCUUAAUGUCCGAUACUGUACAACGUUGUUUCGGUGACCUGCUAUCGCUUGGUAAAACUUUCCUGUUGGUCCGUAGGCCUCUCUGGUUUGCUCGAGUUCCCGAAUGUUUUGCUCUUCCAAAGCAUGUUUCUUGGAGCGGUGAACUCGUUUCUCUUCGCGUCUAAGCCGUGAAUAUUCCUCUGCGCAUGCCCUCGUUCUAUGCCGUUGCUGCAUUGUUCGGUAUGCAGUAUUAUUACGUUCGGUCACUUGUCUCGAACCAGCCAGAUUUGGUGUUGCCACGACGUGGUGGGAGUAUAUUUCUUGCACAGGUUAUUAUUUUUGUUUUUAGAGCGUUCCACCUCUCGCUCGUAGUUUCAUAACUGUUUUCUGGUAGUAGAGACUCGUCUAAAGCGGCUUUAAAUUCCUGUUGGACAGUAAAGUUCCUUAGAGAGUCCGUGUUGAGCCGAGGCUGCAUGUUUUCUCCGCCCCCAUUGGCGCGGGGGCGAGUGAUUCUACAACAGUGAUCCGUUACGUGAUACGAUACGUGAUAAGCCAACCAAGUAGUGAUCGGAAUCGAUAUUGGCUCCUCGAUAUGUUCUGACAUUUAACAGAUUCGACUGUUGUCGGCGGCGUACUAACACGUGGUCGAUCUGGUUGAGGGUUACUCCAUCCAGGUGCGCCUACUUCCAACAACCAGAUUGUUCGCUGCGGUGAACUGGACCAAUCUACUACCAUUAUCGUUACUGUGCUCAUGCAGACUGUGACAGCCAGUGUAUUGGCGGUACAUUGGCUCCCUACCGACUUUUGCGUUGAAGUCCUCCAGGAUGAUUAUGAGGUCAUGCCUGGGGCACGCAUCUAUAGUUAUAGCUAGGCGGCCGUAAAAAAGGUCCUUCUCCUUUUCUUCUUUCUCUUCGGUAGGGGCGUGAACGUUUAUGAGGCUUAUGUUACAGAAUUUGUCUCGCAUGCGCCUAUCGCAUGCUUUGAUAGGGUGCAUAGCCUAUCGUUUAUAGCAGCGGUUGGCAAAGUCCGGCCCGCGGGCCAUAUGCGGCCCGCCGCAACAUUCAAUCCGGCCCGCGAAAAGAUUUGACUUAUUUGGAAAAAUGGGAAGAAACGAUUCGUAAACAAAUUACUGAAGAUCGUUUAGCAUACCAUAUUAAACCAUCGUACUUUUUCAACUUUUAAUUAAAGUACUAUGGAAUGACGGAGCGUUCAGUAUGUUCGAACUCGAGGUUAAUAUCCCCGUAACUUUUGCAUGAAAAAAUAUGCCAUUUUCGGCUGGCUGUAGAAAAAAACUAGGAAAUAUAAUUUCUUUACAUUUACAUCUGUUGAAAAGGAAUUAUUUAAGCAUACUUGCACAAAUAAGAUCAAGCCUUUGCGAAUUGCUUUUCGUCAGUUAUAAGGAAUUUUCACCAUGGUGGACAAAGGCAUGCAAGAUUUAAGUUCUACCUUCGAUUAUCAUCAAUUCUGCCUAAGUUUGCGCUACAAAAUUGUUAGAGUAGAGUUUUUGCAUCACGUUGGUGCAGAAAAAAAAUCAAUGGGACACGGGUGACGGAUGUUGGACCAGUUUGCGAAUUAGGGUGUUAUAUCGAAAUUCUGUCGAAAUUCACCUGGAAUGAUUGCAUUGAGUUUUUGUGAUCUGAUCUGUUUAUUCAUGUUUCCCAGGGUAUCCCAGUCCAGCUAACGCAGUAAUGUAGCCACUUAUCCCUCUGUCUUCAUUUCAGCUUCUUUUGGAACCUCAAAAAUGAACCUAGGGUUAUUUUCGAUGCCUUGAUUGUUGCCUAGUGCCAAGAUCUUGGCGACCAAAAUGUCGAAAUUAGUGUAUACGACGUCCACAAUUUGGUUCAUUUUUUUGGCCAUCAUGGUUAGAGUUCGACUGAUAGAGGUGUCCAAUUUUGUCACCUAACUAAUGGGAUAUUGCUAUUCAAAGUGGAAUUAACGUUUUGUUAGUGCGGUUUAAGAUGAACCCAUGAAAAAUCGACAAUUGUUGUCCAUUUUUUAAUGCAACCGUUAUGUAAUAUUAAUGAUAUUUUAACACCACAAUGAGACUAUCGAAAUGAAGGACGCAUACGAAAUUUUAUAAUUUAUAUGUUUGUAUAUAAAAAAAAAACAAAAGUAGGUAUUAUCAAUUUGGAACCGUACUUGGAUGACACAAUUAUAGAAAAACAGCAAUAAUACCAAUCGCAUUGCUUCAUAUCAUUUAUUUUGUUUCUAAAAGUUUAAAAUGUAAUAAUUAAAUCAAAAUAAUAGAAAAACCACGUUCUCCCGGCCCGCGGAUUUAGAUUAUUUACUAAAGUUGCCCCUGUGUCUCAAAAGUUUGCCGACCGCUGGUUUAUAGCCUUCAAAUCCAUGAUUGCGGGUUUCAACCGAGGAUCUACGGCGAAACCCGUUCCGAGCACGCGGUGGCGGUCGUGGCAGCUGUAGUAGAUGUCGUAGCAAUGCUUCCCACGCCUGUUGUGCACUCCGUUCCCUAGCCACCGAAUCUCUUGUAGAGCUACGAGGUCCAUGCUCAGUGUGGCUAGGGCGUCAUCAAGUUGUUUCCAGGCUCCGGCUUUGCUAAGAGUGCGUACGUUCCAUGAGCCCAUUUUGAUCGUUGUCUUGGGGCAUUGCGUAGGGUCGGUAUUGUUAGGUCCGUUUCGUAAAUUCCUGCUGCUUUCUGUAGUCGUUUUGUCCAUGAGACUGGGUGACUGGCCCUGCGCUCACGUGGCCUUUUUAUUUAACGUCGGGUUGCCCCCCACGGGUUGACGUUCAGGCACCCAGUUUCCCGCGAUACCCACCUCCCUCCUGGUUCGCCAUAUGCCACCAUCCGCCCAAGGGGUUGGAUCUAGCCCGUGUACCCAUGCUAGGAUAUAUGGAGGCACAUGUUACCACGCUGCACGACGAGGACGUGUCAGAAUAGGAGUUGGAAGGGAGAGCCUGUAUCAUGCCCUACAACAACAAAUGUCAAAAUUGCUCGCGCUAUUUUCAAAAAAAGUUAACUAAUUUCGGGGCCACGGAUGGUCGCAGCUAAAUAAAAAGACAAAACGUAGGAAAAUGUUGAUCGUUCCUAUUAUAUGCGACUAACGAGUGAAAUCGAGUCGAAUUAUAAAAAAAUCACUCUCCAAAAUGAAAAUAUCCAAAAGUUUGGCCAUGAUGAUUGGUUUUCAAUUACUCAUAAACUUUAAAAAAAAUUUUUGCAAAAUAUUCAAACAUUACAUCAGAGUAUGAUAAAACAAACCUUUUCAACGACACAUAAAUUAUCAAAAUAUAACCAUCAUAUACUAAAAUAUGAUGUUUUAUUUUUGGUCGAAAAAUAGCUCAAAUUUGAAAUUCAGUAAGUUAAAGAUAAAAACGUAAUCAUUUUUGAUUUCAACUAAGUUUAAGUAUCUAUUUAAAAAAAUGGUUAUGGUUAACUUGCGAUAAAGUUGGUUAUUCGAUUUGUAUACAGGCGUUUGCCCAAUGUGUAUGGUGGUGUUGUGGUCUUGAUGGUUCUCAGGAAAGGAACCAUUCCAGCUAUUGGCGAUGAUGAUUUUGCUAAGGCAAAUGAAGUCACGACGUGGAAGAGUAUUAUGAUUACUUAUGAUGAUUAUGCUAUUCGAUCUGCUAUUUCGUUUCCCUGCUAUAACGUGGAAGAGUAUUAUGAUUACUUAUGAUGAUUAUGCUAUUCGAUCUGCUAUUUCGUUUCCCUGGAUACCUGUGUGACCAAGAAUCCAGCAUAAUGUGACUUGGGGUGAAUUUUUUAUAUUGCAUAGUUGUUUGAUGUUCGGGUCGCUGGUGGUUCCAGAUUCAAAUUCUUGAAGGAUACUUGAACUUUCAGUGAAAAUUACGUUGGGGUUGUCUCUGUGUAGACCUUCAUCAGCAGCAAUAACCAGGGCUAUUGCUUUUACGGUGAAGAUUGAGGUAUGGUCUGGUAGUCGGAUAGCGCUAUUGUCGAUGCUGGGGUAGAUUCCACUGCCAGAGGAACCAUUUUGUACUGAUCCGUCUGUGAAUAUGAGAUGGUGGUUAUGGUAUCUUUGCUCAACGAGUUCGGCAAAAUGAUAGUUAGCAAUGACACUAUUGCAACCAGCCCGAAACUGACUUUUGAUGGUCCAGUCUAUUUGUGGCGGGUGGCAGUGCCAAGGGCGACUACCGAUUUGAAUGAGUUUGGUGACUGAGGGGAGUGUUUGUCCUGUUAGCGUGGUGAAUUCGGCAUUUGCCUUUUCGAUAAGAGCAUCGGCCUUGAUUUUUUUCCAUCAUUCGUCCUGCAGUUGCUACUAUCUUGUCGGUAAUGAUAUAUGGUCCAAGGGUUGAAGUCCGCUUCCACACAGAAAUGAUGCUAUGGGGCUCGUGACGAAAGCCCCGGUAGCACAGCGGAUGGUGGUAUGGUAGAGUGGUGCAAUUUGUGUUUGGAAAUGUUCCCGUUUAUGGGAGACUAUUUCGAUGCCGUAGAGUAGUUUUGGUAGAAGCCAGCUAUUGAUGAUUUGAAGUUAUGUUUGGCGGAAGGCGCGAUGUUGACCGGUUCCAAGCAUUCUGAAAAGAUUAAUACGGUUGUUCGCUUCUCUUUUGAUCCGUGUAGUGUUAGCUUUAAAUGUUAGAUGACGAUCAAAAGUCACUCCUAGGAUAUUGGCUGUGCGUGUAUUUGGUAUUACUGAGUUAUUGUGUGUUAUAGGUUUUAGAAUGUGAUAUUUGCUAUUGCAGAUGUGAAGUAUUUUGGAUUAAGAGUGUGAAAAAGUGUGACCUGUCCAACGUGACCAUUUCUGAACUAUGUUUAUUCCUUCUUGUAUUUUUUGUGUAAGGGUUUUUGGGAGGGAGGGAAGGGCCCUUUGAGAGGGCUGGGUUUUUAAGCGCCUUUGAAAAGGUCGCUUUGUUUCCGUCCAGAUGGGACGAGAAGCAAGAAGAAUCAGACUCUUCGGAUUGGUACAUUGUUUCAACUUCAUUGGUGGUUUAGUUUUGAUUAAAAGUAUUAAUAAAUUUGGUAUGUUCAAUUUCUUUGCUUUUGAUAGUUUCUGUUAGUAGAUCACUUUUCUUAUCUAAAUUAGCAUUUUCUUGUUUACGUUGAUCAAUAAUUUCAUCUUUUGGAUCAGGGGUAGCAACAGGUGGAGUAAGUUUUUUCAAAAGUUCUUCGUUUAGUUUGUUAAGAUUGGCAAUUUCUUCGUCUCUAGAAUCGGGUUUAGUGGAAGGGGCAACGUUAGUUUGUGGAUUAGAGGACACAACUUGAGCGAGAGUGAGCCUUUGUUGAACUGCGCUCUGUUUAUGUAGUUUGGAAUCUAUUUCGUGCUUCAAGCAAAUGACACGUUGUAAUCAAUUUUAUGUUUAAUGACUGUUUUAUUUCCUGUUCCUUCAAAUAAAAUAGGCAGGAUUUAUCAAAAUAAUUGUGGUUGCCUUUGCAAUUGAGACAUUUCAGUGGAGCAGUGCAUUCUCCAUGGGCAAGGAUACUACAAUUGUGGCAAACCUGUGAGGUUUUGUAUCUCAGCCUCAGCUAUGGUCAUAGUGAGCACAAUUAAUUUAAUCUGGUAGACUUGGUGAAGUGCGUUCUUUGCACUGACGAAAUUUGUGCCAUUAUCUGAAUAGAUAUGGUUGUUUCGUCGGAAGAUGAAACGGUCUAACGCUUUCAGGAACCCUAUUGUACUUAGGUCACCCAAAAACUACAAAUGCACUGCUUUGGUGCUCAUGCAUACAAAAAUGCAUAGGUACGCCUUUUGAGGAGCUGCUUUGCAAUGAACAGGUUUCAGCAUUAUCGGUCCACUGUAAUCCACACCUGUACAGACAAAUGCUUCGUUUGCAGUGACUCGAGAAAGUGGUAGCUGCCCUAUCGGUUGCUGAAUUGUAACAGGAUUGGCUCGGUUACAGCGAUAACAUGCUUGGAUGGUAGAUCGAACCGCUUUCCUACCAUUCAAUGGCCAAAACUCUUCGCGAAAGUGUUGAUGUGAUGCCACUAUGCAUCACCUUCUCAUGUUGCUGUCGCAACAGCAAUUCGGUAAAUGGAUGAUACCCACGAAUGACGAUCGGAUGCUUCACACAGAAUGGCAAAUCGGCAUGUCCAAGUCUGCCACCAACACGUAUGACACCGUCUUUGCCAAUGAAUGGAUGGAGUAGCUUGAGUGGGGAUCCACCAGCAAGCUUUUGUUUCUUACGCAGUUGUCGUAAUUCAUCGGGAAAUAAUUGUCGCUGUACCAUCUUUCUUCUUCUUCUACUUCUUCUUUGGCUCAACAACUGUUGUCGGUCAAGGCCUGCCUUUACCUCUUGUGGGCUUGGCUUUCAGUGACUAAUUGAUUUCCCCCCAUAGCAGGAUAGUCAAUCAUACGUAUGGCGGCACGGUCUAUUUGGGGCUUGAACCCAUGACGGGCAUGUUGUUAAGUCGUACGAGUUGACGACUGUACUACGAGACCGGCCAUCUUUACUAAUACGAUUUUAGCAUAUUGAAUCUCAUCCCCAGAGAGAUUGCUCGUUCUGCAUUGUUCUUUACCACGUGCAAUGUGGCAAAAUCGCAUGCAAUAUGCAGUUACAUGAACCAUUGUUCUGAAUGAGGAGUAUCGUAGGAGCAAUGGGUCGGGCUCGACUACUUGGGCAGUUAGCACAACGUUACCCUUUCUUUCCAGCUCAUCAUCAGUGAAGUGUUGUUGUCCAUACGAUUUGCUGGGCCAGUACGAGUUAUCUUUCAUCAGACAAUCUGGUCCAUGCAUCCACAUGUUGCUUUCCAAAAGCAAUUCCGCAGAAACACCUCUGGAUAGCAUGUCGGCAGGGUUCUCGAUCCCUGGCCCAUGAUGCCAAAUGCCGUUGGUAGCAGCGGGUAUCUCUCCUACUCGGUUUGCGAUGAAAGUUUUCCACGUUCUAGGUGGUGCUGCAAGCCAUUGCAGCGUGAUGGUUGAAUCGGACCACAUAUGUGUUUCGUUUACUGCCAUGUCAAUGGCUGAUAUUAGUUUCUGCUGUAAUCUGGCAGCUAGCAAGGCUGCGCAUAGUUCCAGCCUAGGUAAGUUCCAGGAUGGUAAGUGGUUUGAGCGGAGCCACUCUCGAUUUAGAAGCUAGCAGCGUUACUUGGGUAGUGCCGUCGAUGCUUUGCGUUCUCAGGUAGGCACACGCACCAUAAGCUGCUUCUGACGCGCGUGCAAAACAAUGCAGCUCUACAUAGUUAUAGUUGGGUGUCGAAGCAAAUCUCGGGAUCUUGAAAUGAGCUAGCAUGGGGAGCGAUUCGCAAAACUCGUUUGUCACACAAUUGCCUCGGCAAUUCGUCAUCACAACCGAGUUUGUUUGCCCAAAGUUCCUGUAAGAGGAUUUUUGCUUGCACGAUGAUAGGUGAUAGCAAGCCAAGCAGAUCGUUCAGCUGGGUAAUCGUAGAUAGCACUGUACGUUUCGUGUAGGGUCGUACAUCAGGGAUAGCAAUCGUGAAGCGGAAUACAUCGUUCGGUGGUUCCCAACAUAUGCCAAGCGUCUUGACAUUUGCAGCUGCUUCGAAUUCAUGAAUGUUGUUCCAAGCAGAUCAGGUGUCAACCCGUCAAGCACACUCAACUCGUUUGAGCACCAUUUUCGGAACCGGAAACCUCCCUUGCUCAUACACUGGUUAGUUCGUCACGAAGUUGAAUUGCUUGCUCAAUGCUUUCUGCGCCGGAGAUCAGAUCGUCUACGUAAAAGUUCCUCCUCAUCUUCAUCCUCAGCUAGUUGAAGAAGCGUACGUGUUGCUAGGAAUGACGAUGGAUCCAGACCAUAUGUUACCGUUGCCAACUCAAAAGUUUGCCGCCACCUUAUACUUGCGGAAUCGCACGACGAGAGACAGCAGCUCAUCCGGCACGACUGGUCCUACGUGCAAGACAUCGAUUAGAGAAUACCCCAUGGUUGUCUUCGCCGAGCCGUUGAAAACCACUCGCACCUUGGUCCUCAUGCUGGAUUAUUUCGCCACCAGAUGAUGCGGCAAGUAGUGAACCGCAGCCAUGCUGUCCUCUUCAACCGGCACAGGAAACAUGUGACCCAGCGCCACGUAUUCUCGCAUGAAGUCAUCGUACUGCUGCUCCACACCAGCAAUUGAAACGCUAGCGGGCUUUCGUGGUAGUCGUAAAAGCUGUCAAAGAUGUUCACUGAUCGCAUGCGGCUGCGAUCCGUUGUCCAGCAAUGCUCGCGCUAAGUGUUCUUUGCCGUAUGCAUCGACAACAACCAAUAAGACUGUGGAGAGUACAGUGUUAACGGAUGAUUUCUUCGACGAUGCUAACGCCAUUGUUGAAGAGCUAGAAGUUUCACCCACCAAUACACUGCUGUUUUCUUCGAGAGCGUGAAGUAGUGUGUGGUGACGCUCUGCUGGCAUUUGUAUUUGGACGCACACGCAUGGGCCAAAUGUCCUCCUUUCAAGCAAUUUCUGCACAGCCUUUUCUCACUCAUCACUCUCAUGCGCUCUUGUGUAUUAGUGCCUUUGAACACAUUGCACGACGCUAUACUGUGCCCAUUCUUUUUGCACAUCACACACACUGGUACGUUGUUGGUAUGAGUAGUAGCAGCAUGCAACGAUACUUUUGCUUUUAUUGUUUUUGUUUUGGAAACUGUGCCACACUUAUCUAUUGCCAGUGUUUCCAACACUUUUACACGUUUUUCCAAAAACGCCAUCAUGUCCGUAAAUGUAGGGUCUUCAUCGGCAUGGGCUUCUACCCAUACACGGAAUGUUUCAACGUCCAGCUUAUCCGCCAUUAACUCGAUGAGAAUUGAACUGAACGAUUUCAUGGGUUCUUUUAAUUGCUCUAAGAUUUUGACGUGCCGUCGAAAAUCUUCAAUCGAACGGUUGAGCGCCAAUGCUCCCGUGUCUUUCAUCUUAGGAAUCGAUAUGAGCGAUCGAAUAUGCUUCUUACGCAAAAUGAUUGGGUUGGAAUAACGUUUGACGAUCGUACUCCAUGCCAAUCAAAAUUCUAACUCGUAACCGAAAUGGACUGUAUUAAAUUCGCAGCUUCUUAUUUGAGUGAAGCUCCAAGGUAGUGGAAUGUUUCGAUUGUCGUAAUGUCCGUUAAUGAGUGUAUGAGUGAGACGUAUGUGUCGUGGAACGUGAACCACGCAUCGAAAUUUCCUGCGAACUCUGGGAGUGCAAUCAAUGGGAGCUUCACUCUUGAAGAAUGAAGCAGCAUUUGCAGCAACAGACACAACUUCAGCGGCUGCCGGAACGGGUAACAUACUACGCAAUUGCGCCUUUGCAUGCUAAUACGUUUCCUCCAUUUCUGCUCUAAUACGCGCAUUAGUUGCAACGCCUUCCUCGGAGAUUUCCUAAUCUUCGAUGUCUUCUUGCACUAUUUCAAAAGAUUCCCAAAUCUUUUCCAAACGAUCGAGUCGCGUUGACACUUGAUUUUAUUGUUCAUUUGUGUACGUUUUUACGAACUCUUUCACACGAUGGAUCGAGUCCAUGUAUUGGUGCCGCUUGAGCUCCUUGUACCGCAACUUGUCCUGCUUCAACAUUUUGAAAAAGGCUCACACAUACAAACACCAACACAGAUCGAGUGCCGCAGCACUGCUUUAUGAACAAACGCUUCUGUACGCCGGUUUUCACAAAAACCGAAGGAUUUAUCAAAAUCCUGGUCACUACGCACCAAAAUGUUGUCCCGUGAUCGUUAACAACUUGCCGUACGUUGUGAUAUUAUUGAUUGUCUUUAUUCAGUAUCGAUUCGCGACCGAUAACUGAACGCCGCGCACCCAGCUCAAGCAGCGUAUGCAAAAACACGCACACACUUACGCCGAAAGUUCUCGUUCCUCACUCUCCUCUUGCCUUCUACCUUUCUUCCUCUACGCUUCUCCUCACCAGUACAUUCUACCGUAUGCGGUACCAAAUAUUCUUCAUCGGUGAUGUUUUUAAGAUCAGAAGAGAAAAUCACGCAUAUUGGACGGUAUUAAGUGUAGUGUGGGAUAUGAGGGUGAUAAGUGUGCCAUUAAUGAGUUUUGUUAGAGUUUGCAAAUUUUUAUAGUGGGACAAUGAUCGGAUUUUCAACAGGUACUUAGAAUUAUUAUUAAUCAAGUAACCUUCUACCGGUCGUCCAACAUGUUGUUGUAGAUUGUUGCCUACGAUGAAUGGGUCUGGUAGCGGCUUUCCUUUUUCAGUAGUCAGAACCAGAUACAUUAGCUCUACUUCCUCGCCGUUAAACCAUUCCGGGUAUGUCCUAGCCCGGGAACUCGUGCCGGGAGGGGGAUGAGCCCUCGCGGCAGGAGGAGGGUCCGACAUAUUGUCGGCCCUCUCAGCACUGGCACUUGAAAAACGUCACUGUCACAUUUUUUUCUCAAUGUCCACUGCACAACAAUACCACUUCACUUUUGAAAAAAAAAAUGUCUUAUGAGAGUCCACCUGACUAAUGUCUUUAGAAAAACUUUCACUAUCUGCACUCACAAAACAGGCUACAACCUUGGGCCACAAUACUUUACGUAGCGCUUUGAGAAAAGCGAACAACGUAAAAUGCGUUAGGAUUGUUCUUAAAAAUGUUAAAUAUUUACUUUAAUGUCUCGCUGUGAAAACAACGAACGACGUAAAAGGAUAUCUAAGUUUGUUUUUUCCCACACGUACUACACUACAGCACAAAACUCCUGAAACACCAAACACGAACAACACUUUCCAGCACCGCACUGUUUGGACCCAGGUAAUUCUGCAAUGCACUGAUCACGGGGUUAUAAAAUACGUUUCAGUCGAGGAGCGCGCGGUAGAACACUCUUUGGCUGUCACGAGAAGAUUGAUUCAAGCAUGUUCUGAUUGAGACUAUUGUGUACGCCGACGGCAAAAUAAAGUGUGAUUAUUUAGCUUAUUCAUUUUAAAAGCUUUCGUCCUGUUUUGUUCAAGUAAAAGAAAACGUACAGAAGUCAUUGUUUACAUCCAAUUUCCACGUUAAGCGAUUCCGUCUUACUAUUCUUCUUUGGCACAACAACCGGUAUUGAUCUAUUAGUGACUUAUUUAAUACCCAUUGCAGGAUAAUCAUUGCUAUUUAUUGAGGAGUCGGACUAUACCGGGGUUUAACUCAGGACGGGCAUGUAGUCAAGUCUUGUGUGUUAAGUGGUGGUGUACAAACCUGCAAAGGUACUGCAAAGUACGACUGUACUUUUCAUUUGACAGCUCGAUGCACUCUUUGUGAUAAAAAUAUUCGAUUCAACAUGGUACUCGGAUAUUUUUACACCUUGUAUAUAAUUUUUCGAUAUGAAUUCGCUAAACGCUAAAGUUCGAUCCUUUCUAGUACGUUACGCUUCAUACAAAAACGUAAAUUGGUUAAUUGAUGUACCAUGUCUUGAUUUUCCUUACUACUUUAAAUAGUGUUUGCAUAUUUGCUCACCAGAAUGUUUUAAAUAUAAGUUGAAAUUGUUUUGUAUUCGUUUUGAUAUGCAAAGGUGUCCGUUCCUGCCAACAAUAAACGUGAAACAAAUCGAUUUUCACUUUUGUACAGAGCUGGCUCCGCACCAACGGCUCCGAACCAACGGUUCAAACAAACGGUUCCGGACUAACGGUUCAAUGGAGACGGCAUUGUACGAUAGCGUAAAGAACGAAUGUAUCUUCCCGCGAAUGUGAGUGCAAACAGUCGAUAUUUUAAACAAAGAACAGUUAAUUGACACUGUGGUAGGUUCGGCCGCGCUUCUCAAACCGCUUCGGUGAGUCAAUGCGCGGAGCGCAGUGAAAGGUUGUGGAACGAGGAAGGGGAUUGUACGGAACCAAAAUGUAUACACAUUCGUCGCGUAUCGGUUACGUCAACCCGUUCACACUUACGCUAAGUUCGAAAAGAAGCACUUGCUACGUCAGCGGAAUCGCGGACUGGAUCGAUCUUGCGCGUCCAGUUGAUGACCGAGGCGGAAUCGGACACCGUGGGAGAAGUUGGGUGAAACUAGUGCAAACGUGCACUUUACUUCGAUGAGGGUAAUGCUGAUCGGUCAACUGACUGAACAGCUGAUAACCAAAAGUGGUUAUCAAAUUGGGCAGAGCCUUCGGCGGAAUCUGCAAAUUGGUGAGAUACACCAGAACAUGAGUGAUCUACGUGUCUGUGAAUUGUUAACUAACUUCGCCAUCAGUUCGAGCUUUAUUUAUAACUAAGAUGGUGUAAAAGUUGUGACACAUUUAGCAACCAGAUGUUUCUCAAAUGUGAGCUUUCGCUUGGUUUUCCGGGUUUGGGUUUUUACAGGGGUUUCUUUAAUUAUACCUAGCGUGCCUGUGUUUUAUUAACUAUCCGUGCAUUGUGGAUACAGCAAACGUGUUCCUGUUUAUGCCUGGGUUUUUACGGAAGUUUAAUUGUUUAUCUGUGGCGCGUUUUCCGCAUUUAUGUUCUGGGGUAAAACACGAGAACGUUUACGCUUCUAAUGUUUAAAGUCUUUUUACCUGGCUGUUGGCUAUGCUAAGUUAGAUUUGACCUAGCGGAAUUUGGGGCAAGUGUGCCAUACGGGGCAAGAGUGCCACCAAGCAUUUUUCCUUAAAAACUUUAGUUUAAUGAUCAAUUGUGUAUACAGUUGGUUCCUUUCCAAUGACUAGGUAUACUGAGCCGAAUUUCAUAUAGACCAAUCGAUAUUCCCCAUUGUUUUGAACUGAUUUAUGUUGAGUUUCAAAAUUGAGCAGAAUAUUAUAAUUUUUUAAUCCAAUCAAAUAAGCUCUCAAAAAUCAUGCGAACAAUCAACAGGGAAAAUAUUUACACCACCGUAUAGCUGAGAAAACGUGAAAUUUUUUGUGGGGUUAGUUGAAAAAAACUUUCUUUUUGUCACUGAAAAAUUCAAUUUCAAAAAAGUUACAACUUUUGGGGCAAGUGUGCCAUCUCUGUUUGGGGCAAGUGUGCCACCAUCUUUCAUAGGCGCGAGCUGUCAAAAA